CAGUCGCCGCGGUAAUACGGAGGGUGCAAGCGUUAAUCGGAAUUACUGGGCGUAAAGCGCACGCAGGCGGUCUGUCAAGUCAGAUGUGAAAUCCCCGGGCUUAACCUGGGAACUGCAUUUGAAACUGGCAGGCUAGAGUCUUGUAGAGGUGGGUAGAAUUCCAGGUGUAGCGGUGAAAUGCGUAGAGAUCUGGAGGAAUACCGGUGGCGAAGGCGGCCCCCUGGACAAAGACUGACGCUCAGGUGCGAAAGCGUGGGGAGCAAACAGGAUUAGAUACCCGCGUAGUCCCUGUCUCUUAUAC
rnacentral:rRNA from 1 species